ACGGAGGAUCCAAGCGUUAUCCGGAAUCAUUGGGUUUAAAGGGUCCGUAGGCGGUUUUGUAAGUCAGUGGUGAAAGCCCAUCGCUCAACGAUGGAACGGCCAUUGAUACUGCUAGACUUGAAUUACUAGGAAGUAACUAGAAUAUGUAGUGUAGCGGUGAAAUGCUUAGAUAUUACAUGGAAUACCAAUUGCGAAGGCAGGUUACUACUAGUGGAUUGACGCUGAUGGACGAAAGCGUGGGGAGCGAACAGGAUUAGAUACCCUGGUAGUCCACGCCGUAAACGAUGGAUACUAGCUGUUGGGCGCAAGUUCAGUGGCUAAGCGAAAGUGAUAAGUAUCCCACCUGGGGAGUACGUUCGCAAGAAUG
rnacentral:rRNA from 1 species